rnacentral:lncRNA from 1 species
AUAAACCAGGCGAAUUGUGUCAUCAUGGAAAGGAAAAGCUCACUGGAAUUUGUGGAAUUCUCAGGAGUGGGCUUUAUGCUUCUACAAUCCAUUGACUGGGGAUCUGAGUCCUUUUUAAGAGGGUGCAAAAGUCCCAGUGAGCACUAAUGGUUAUAUUGGGAUGGGCUGGGACGGAUAGGACUACAGUGUCCACUCUGUCUGGAGAGAGCUUCGUGAUUCUCUGCGUCCCUUUUCCAUAGUUUCCUUGGAGACCAGCAGGGCUGGAGCCCAGCAUGAGUGCACUGUCCUUGUGGAGACAUUGACUUCUGCUGUCAGCGCCACCUUCAGUGGUCAGCUUACAUUCUCUGCCAUUUUAUUACAUUCUCAGUAAUACCUAUAGCCUUUACCAUUGAGUUGGGUGGAUCAGGCCACAUCAGGAGUUAGUAGUUCUUAAUUACCAACUAUAUUGGAAAAGGGGUAUUUUAAACUUGAGAUGGAGCUGAACAUUUAAAAAUGUCCAGAGAAAAAUAAUUUAUUUUUAUGGUUUACAUAAACUUUGAGCCACAUAAUUAAAAAUACAUACAAGUU